GGGGGAUUUGCAAUGGGCGAAAGCCUGACGGAGCAAUACCGCGUGAGGGAGGAAGGCUCUUGGGUCGUAAACCUCUUUUCUCAGGGAAGAACAAAAUGACGGUACCUGAGGAAUAAGCAUCGGCUAACUCCGUGCCAGCAGCCGCGGUAAUACGGAGGAUGCAAGCGUUAUCCGGAAUGAUUGGGCGUAAAGCGUCCGCAGGUGGCAUUGCAAGUCUGCUGUCAAAGGUCAGGGCUUAACCCUGAAAAGGCAGUGGAAACUGAAAUGCUGGAGUGCGGUAGGGGUAGAGGGAAUUCCCGGUGUAGCGGUGAAAUGCGUAGAGAUCGGGAAGAACACCAGUGGCGAAGGCGCUCUACUAGGCCGCAACUGACACUCAUGGACGAAAGCUAGGGGAGCGAAUGGGAUUAGAUACCCCAGUAGUC
rnacentral:rRNA from 1 species